GCGCCAGUGGUUUAGUGUAAAAUCCAUCGUUGCUAUCGAUGGGCCCCACGUUCGAUUCGCGGCUGGCGCA
rnacentral:tRNA from 1 species